GGUUACAGUACAUUCCUUAUAUUUUCUUGACUUUACUAUGCUAAAAUAUUAGCCAACGACGUACAGAGCAGCAAUUUAAUUCUUUUUCACUCUAGCAUAACGUUGUGGUUUUAAGACGAGAUGAGCAACAAAGCUUCUGUCCGUUUAAGUGAAAUUCGGGCUUUUUUCGAAGGGAAGUAAAGUGAAAGAAUAUCAUUUCUUGAUAUAUAAGGCUAAAGGGCGACGAAGCAAGCUUGAUUACGGUUGAUGUACGACAGGUAAAUAUAGUCGGUUUGGUGACCCUCCAGCUUAGGACUUCUACUCAGCUGUCUUGGAGAGCUCCACUAUUCCGGAGUUUAGACUUUUGGUACAGAUCUUAUGAUAUAUAUAUAUAUAUAUAUAUAUAUAUAUAUGUAUGUUUAUCCAGGGGUACGACGGGGCCCUGUCCCGUCAUAUUUCACUGUUAGUACUCUUAGAGGUCUGUAGACAUAUGUGUGGGUUGUGUAUAAGUUCUGGUCAGCUGUGUCUAUACGAUGUGCUAUGGAUAUGUUCGUCGGUAGUGGCAGCCUGGUCGGCUUGCAUAUGAUAUUGAUAUGUAGUGGCAGCCUUGUCGGCUUGCGUAUCAUUUUAUGAUUUGAUUAAUUGUGACUCCUCAGGAGACAGUUUAUCUGAAUAUACAUAAAUGAUGACAUUAUGAACCGCUGGAG